CUACCAUGGCGUUUACGGGUAACGGAGGAUUAGGGUUCGAUUCCGGAGAGGGAGCCUGAGAAACGGCUACCACAUCUAAGGAAGGCAGCAGGCGCGUAAAUUACCCAAUCCUGACUCAGGGAGGUAGUGACAGGAAAUAACAACCUAGUCGUAAGACAGUGGAUUGUAAUGAGUGCAAUUUAACACACUGCACGAGGAACAAUUGGAGGGCAAGUCUGGUGCCAGCAGCCGCGGUAAUUCCAGCUCCAAUAGCGUAUAUUAAAGUUGUUGCAGUUAAAAAGCUCGUAGUUGAAUUUCUAACUAGUUAAUUUAAGGCUUGUCUUACUUUAGCUAGUUAUUCGACACUGAACCAUGACGGUUAUUAAGUUAACCCCGUGGAGACUUGUCAUUUUACUUUGAAAAAAUUAGAGUGUUUCAGGCAGGCAUUUGCCCGAAUAUCUUAGCAUGGAAUAAUGGAAUAGGACUUUGGUUCAUUUUAUUGGUUAUUGAAUCAGAGUAAUGAUUAAUAGGGACAGUUGGGGGCAUUAGUAUUUAAUUGUCAGAGGUGAAAUUCUUGGAUUUAUUAAAGACUAACUUAUGCGAAAGCAUUUGCCAAGGAUGUUUUCAUUAAUCAA
rnacentral:rRNA from 1 species